rnacentral:rRNA from 1 species
CCUACGGGUGGCAGCAGUGAGGGAUAUUGGUCAAUGGGGGAAACCCUGAACCAGCAACGCCGCGUGAGGGAAGACGGAUUUCGGAUUGUAAACCUCUGUCCUCUGUGAAGAUAAAGAUGGCAGUAGCGGAGGAAGCAGCGGCUAAUUACGAGCCACCAGCCGCGGUAAUACGUAGGGGGCAAGAGUCGUCCGGAGUUACUGGGUGUAAAGGGUGCGUAGGCGGCGGUGCAAGAAAGAAGUGAAAUGCAUGGGCUUAACCCGUGAACUGCUUUUGAAACUGUUGGGCUUGAGUGAAGUAGAGGCAAGCGGAAGUCCUGGUGUAGCGGUGAAAUGCGUAGAGAUCGGGAGGAACACCAGUGGCGAAGGCGGCCUGCUGGACUUUAACUGACGCUGAGGCACGAAAGCGUGGGUAGCAAACAGGAUUAGAUACCCUUGUAGUC